rnacentral:rRNA from 1 species
UUAAGCUACAAAGAGCGUAGGGUGAAUAGCUAGGCACCAAGAGCCGAAGAAGGACGUGAUAAGCUGCGAAAAGCUUUGGGUAGGAGCAAAUAUCCAUUAAUCCAGAGAUAUCCGAAUGAGGGAACUCACUUAGAGCAAACAAUCUAAGUAUCCAUAUAUGAGUAAAGUAGUAUAUGAGAAGGGAACGUGGGGAACUGAAACAUCUUAGUACCCACAGGAAAAGAAAGAGAAAUCGAUUCCUAGAGUAGUGGCGAGCGAAAUAGGAAGAGCCUAAACCAUGAGUAGUAAUACACAUGGGGUUCGGACCACGAUAUAUUAUCAAUAAUUCUAAUAGAAAUGUUUUGGAAAAGCAUACCAUAGACGGUGAAAGUCCAGUAUAUGAAAGAAAAGUUGAGAUUAGUGGUAUCCAGAGUAGUACGAGACACGAGAAAUCUCGUAUGAAUAAGCGGGGACCAUCCCGUAAGGCUAAAUACUACUUGGUGACCGAUAGUGAACUAGUACCGUGAGGGAAAGGUGAAAAGAACCCCGGGAGGGGAGUGAAAUAGAACAUGAAACCCUAUGUUUACAAGCAGACAAAGCACUUUAUAUGUGCGAUGUCGUACUUUUUGUAGAACGGUCCAGCGAGUUAUUGUGUAUGGCGAGGUUAAGUAUUACGUAAGGUACGGAGCCGAAGCGAAAGCGAGUCUGAAAAGGGCGAUAUAAGUCAUGCAUAAUAGACCCGAAACUGAGUGACCUAUCCAUGAGCAGGAUGAAGCUAGAGUAAAAUCUAGUGGAGGUCCGAACUGAUUGUCGUUAAAAAGGCACCGGAUGACUUGUGGAUAGCGGAGAAAUUCCAAUCGAACUCAGAGAUAGCUGGUUCUCCUCGAAAUAGCUUUAGGGCUAGCCUUGAGGGAAUGCAUAUGGGGGUAGAGCACUGAAUGAGGUAGGGGCCUAACCAGGUUACCAAACUCUAUCAAACUCCGAAUACCAUAUGUAAAUACUCAGGAGUCAGACUGCGGGAGCUAAGUUCCGUGGUCAAAAGGAAAACAGUCCAGAUCGUCAAUUAAGGUCCCAAAGAUAUAGCUAAGUGGAAAACGAUGUGAUUUUGCAUAAACAACCAGGAUGUUGGCUCAGAAGCAGCCAUUCAUUCAAAGAGUGCGUAAUAGCUCACUGGUCGAGUGAAGUUGCGCGGAAAAUUACCGGGGCUAAGCUAUACACCGAAAUUGCGGAUUUACAUUUGAAAGACAAUGUAAGUGGUAGAGGAGCAUUCUGUAGUAGGAAGAAGCAUGACCGUAAGGACAUGUGGACGAAGCAGAAGAGAGAAUGCUGGAAUAAGUAGCGAGAGGAUGGUGAGAAUCCAUCCCGUCGAAAAUCUAAGGUUUCCCAGGGAAGGUUCGUCCGCCUGGGGUAAGUCGGGACCUAAGGAGAGGCCGAAAGGCGUAUCUGAUGGAUAGCAGGUUGAAAUUCCUGCACUACGAAUAUACUUAAAAGAUUCAAGGGACGCAGAAGUGGAAGAUAACCAAGUAAGAGGAAAAGCUUGGCUCGCAAGAGGGAGUGAAAAUUAAAAGUAACGAAGUAUCAAGAAGCACGCUGACGAGAAAAGCUUGAAGAUAUUGUAUAUAAGUACCCGUACCGCAAACCGACACAGGUAGAUGAGGAGAGGAUCCUAAGACGAGCGGGAGAAGCAUUGUUAAGGAACUCGGCAAAUUAACCCCGUAACUUCGGAAUAAGGGGUGCUGAUGUAACAGUCAGUCGCAGAGAAAAGGCCCAAGCAACUGUUUAACAAAAACAUAGGUUUCUGCUAAAUCGAAAGAUGAAGUAUAGGAGCUGACGCCUGCCCAGUGCUGGAAGGUUAAGGGAAAGAGUUAGGGUUAAACCGAAGCUUAGAACUGAAGCCCCAGUGAACGGCGGCCGUAACUAUAACGGUCCUAAGGUAGCGAAAUUCCUUGUCAGGUAAGUUCUGACCCGCACGAAAGGCGUAAUGAUUUGGGCACUGUCUCAACAGCCCGCCCGGCGAAAUUGUAGUAC